CCUACGGGCGGCAGCAGUGAGGAAUCUUGGUCAAUGGCCGUAAGGCUGAACCCGCCAAGUCGCGUGAAGGAAGAAGGAUCUAUGGUUUGUAACCUUCUUUUAUAUGGGAGUAAAACAGGGUAUGCAUACCCUCUUGUAUGUACCAUAUGAAUACGGCACGGCUAACUCCGUGCCAGCAGCCGCGGUAAUACGGCGGAUCCGAGCGUUAUCCGGAUUUAUUGGUUUUAAAGGGAGCGUAGGUGGAUUGUUAAGUCAGUUGUGAAAGUUUGCGGCGCAACCGUAAAAUUGACGUUGAAACUGGCAGUCGUGAGUACAGGAGAGGUGGGCGGAAUGCGUGGUGUAGCGGUGAAAUGCUUAGAUAUCACGAAGAACUCCGAUUGCGAAGGCAGCUCACUGGACUGCAACUGACACUGAUGCUCGAAAGUGUGGGGAUCAAACAGGAUUAGAUACCCCAGUAGUC
rnacentral:rRNA from 1 species